CCUCUCCCUCUCUCUCCUCUCUCUCUCUCUCUCUCUCUCUCUCUCUCUCUCUCUCUCUCGCUCCCUCGCUGGCUCUCGCUUUCCUGUUCUGCAGCUCAGUCAAGUACAGCCGCCCUCGGAAGGAAAGUGCAAAGCAGCCACGAGACAGAUCGGGCUUUGUUGCUAAUUUCCCAGGGUGAAAAUUUACAAGCCUGUGAGUGCAGUCAGCACAAUCGCAUGCAUAUGCCCCUCACAGACGCUGGGGACCCGCGCACAGACUGUGACCUCGGCGAGGAGUCGACUCGGGAAAGACCCUACCUCCUGGACCUGUCCAAAAGAACCCCUGCGAAAGAGCUCCUAGGAAAAGGAAAAAAAUCAUCAGAAAAAACCCCGUGCAGAUGAAGAGGCUUUGCCACUUAAUGUACUGCACAGAUGUGAUCAUCAGCGGCUGCCGACAAUGAAAUAUACAAGUGCACACAAAGUGAUCUGGUGAACAAGAGGUGGAAUUUAAUCAUCUUCUGCUGGCACUUUGUGAAAAACACCAUUAACCCUCAGCAAACCCCCUGUUUUCCUGGCUCCCCAGAACCUCAAAGUCUCACCCCUCCCGUGAGAGGAAAAAGUGAAAGAAGAAUUUGUGCUUUUGUUUACUCAGCCAAGCUAAAGGUUGGAUCGGCCAGGCAAGCAGUUUCUUCAUUUCCUGAGAGUAAACUAUCCAGUUUAAUUACAGAUCCUUCAGAAAUCUUUGCAAAAGAAUUGCCAUAAAGAGCCAGAUCUUCUCAGUCCCACUGUCUUUUGCCUGUACCCUGUUUCAGCAACUUACCAUACAUUUGGUGACAGAAUUGACUUAAUCCAUGCCCCCCCCCAACACUUAGUCAAGAAAAAGAAAAGGCAAAACGUCUCUGAGAGAGAUGAAAACUUUAAGGAACAAUGAAGGAGAGAGGUAGUGCUCUGAAACGGUGAGAAGAAAAAAAUUACACAGCACACCUGGGACAGAUGAAGCCAAACUAGUGCUUUUAUAAUGCCAAUCAGCAGGGCUGUUAUCAUCCCUCUAAUUAGGAAAGCAGCCUAAAACAGAGAGCACUUGGGGAAAUGGUAAUGUUAUGGUUUUGCACUUAAAAGGAGAGACAUUUCCUGCACUGUAAGAAUCUAGGAUUGGGGCUGACAAGUCCUUUAAUUAAUGGGCAGGAUUCCCUGUGUGUGCAAGUGUGUGUGCAUGUUUUAAUUCAUAAAAGUGGACAAAGGGUGCCAGAGGAGGGGGUAGAGACUGAUGGGGGAAGGAGGGUGAAUCCUUAGUUUGAAGAUGAACAGAGUUCAUAGCUACAUUCAUCCCUUUCUUUUUCUUUUUCAACCUC